rnacentral:rRNA from 1 species
GAUGAACGCUGGCGGCGUGCCUAAUACAUGCAAGUCGAGCGAACAGAUGAGGAGCUUGCUCCUCUGACGUUAGCGGCGGACGGGUGAGUAACACGUGGAUAACCUACCUAUAAGACUGGGAUAACUUCGGGAAACCGGAGCUAAUACCGGAUAAUAUAUUGAACCGCAUGGUUCAAUAGUGAAAGACGGUUUUGCUGUCACUUAUAGAUGGAUCCGCGCCGCAUUAGCUAGUUGGUAAGGUAACGGCUUACCAAGGCAACGAUGCGUAGCCGACCUGAGAGGAUAAUCGGCCACACUGGAACUGGGACACGGUCCAGACUCCUACGGGAGGCAGGAGUAGGGAAUCGUCCGCAAUGGGCGAAAGCCUGACGGAGCAACGACGCGUGAGUGAUGAAGGUCUUCGGAUCGUAAAACUCUGUUAUUAGGGAAGAACAAAUGUGUAAGUAACUAUGCACGUCUUGACGGUACCUAGUCAGAAAGCCACGGCUAAAUACGUG